rnacentral:rRNA from 1 species
CUACGGGGUGCAGCAGUGAGGAAUAUUGCACAAUGGGGGGAACCCUGAUGCAGCAACGCCGCGUGGAGGAUGACGCAUUUCGGUGUGUAAACUCCUUUUAUAUGUCAAGAAAAUGACGGUAGCAUAUGAAUAAGCACCGGCUAACUCCGUGCCAGCAGCCGCGGUAAUACGGAGGGUGCAAGCGUUACUCGGAAUCACUGGGCGUAAAGGACGCGUAGGCGGGUUGGAAAGUCAGGUGUGAAAUCCUACAGCUUAACUGUAGAACUGCACUUGAAACUUCUAAUCUAGAGUAUGGGAGGGGGAGAUGGAAUUAGUGGUGUAGGGGUAAAAUCCGUAGAUAUCACUAGGAAUACCUAAAGCGAAGGCGAUCUCCUGGAACAUUACUGACGCUAAGGCGUGAAAGCGUGGGGAGCAAACAGGAUUAGAUACCCGUGUAGUC